GUCUUCGUAGCGCAGGGUCGCUCGCUCCCACUCCAUUCAUCCGUCUUCGAAUACUCUGCGAGAGCUGGUGGUUCGACUCCACCCGAGGACA